CUACUUACCUGGCAGGGAGACACCAUGAUCACGUAGGUGGUUUUCCAGGGUGAGGCUCCGCCAUUGCACUUUGGGCUGUGCUGACCCCUGCGAUUUCCCCAAAUGCGGGAAACUCGACUGCAUAAUUUGUGGUAGUGGGGGACUGCGUUCGCGCUCUCCCCUG
rnacentral:snRNA from 1 species